rnacentral:rRNA from 1 species
GACGAACGCUGGCGGCGUGCCUAAUACAUGCAAGUCGAGCGGACUUUCAAGAAGCUUGCUUUUUGAAAGUUAGCGGCGGACGGGUGAGUAACACGUGGGCAACCUGCCUGCAAGACGGGGAUAACUCCGGGAAACCGGGGCUAAUACCGGAUAAUAUCUUCCUUCGCAUGAAGGAAGGUUGAAAGGCGGCGCAAGCUGCCGCUUGCAGAUGGGCCCGCGGCGCAUUAGCUAGUUGGUGAGGUAACGGCUCACCAAGGCGACGAUGCGUAGCCGACCUGAGAGGGUGAUCGGCCACACUGGGACUGAGACACGGCCCAGACUCCUACGGGAGGCAGCAGUAGGGAAUCUUCCGCAAUGGACGAAAGUCUGACGGAGCAGCGCCGCGUGAGCGAAGAAGGUCUUCGGAUCGUAAAGCUCUGUUGUCAGGGAAGAACAAGUACCGUUCGAACAGGGCGGUACCUUGACGGUACCUGACCAGAAAGCCACGGCUAACUACGUG